rnacentral:rRNA from 1 species
GGUUAAGCGACUAAGCGUACACGGUGGAUGCCCUGGCAGUCAGAGGCGAUGAAGGACGUGCUAAUCUGCGAUAAGCGUCGGUAAGGUGAUAUGAACCGUUAUAACCGGCGAUUUCCGAAUGGGGAAACCCAGUGUGAUUCGUCACACUAUCAUUAACUGAAUCCAUAGGUUAAUGAGGCGAACCGGGGGAACUGAAACAUCUAAGUACCCCGAGGAAAAGAAAUCAACCGAGAUUCCCCCAGUAGCGGCGAGCGAACGGGGAGCAGCCCAGAGCCUGAAUCAGUGUGUGUGUUAGUGGAAGCGUCUGGAAAGGCGCGCGAUACAGGGUGACAGCCCCGUACACAAAAAUGCACAUGCUGUGAGCUCGAUGAGUAGGGCGGGACACGUGGUAUCCUGUCUGAAUAUGGGGGGACCAUCCUCCAAGGCUAAAUACUCCUGACUGACCGAUAGUGAACCAGUACCGUGAGGGAAAGGCGAAAAGAACCCCGGCGAGGGGAGUGAAAAAGAACCUGAAACCGUGUACGUACAAGCAGUGGGAGCACGCUUAGGCGUGUGACUGCGUACCUUUUGUAUAAUGGGUCAGCGACUUAUAUUCUGUAGCAAGGUUAACCGAAUAGGGGAGCCGAAGGGAAACCGAGUCUUAACUGGGCGUUAAGUUGCAGGGUAUAGACCCGAAACCCGGUGAUCUAGCCAUGGGCAGGUUGAAGGUUGGGUAACACUAACUGGAGGACCGAACCGACUAAUGUUGAAAAAUUAGCGGAUGACUUGUGGCUGGGGGUGAAAGGCCAAUCAAACCGGGAGAUAGCUGGUUCUCCCCGAAAGCUAUUUAGGUAGCGCCUCGUGAAUUCAUCUCCGGGGGUAGAGCACUGUUUCGGCAAGGGGGUCAUCCCGACUUACCAACCCGAUGCAAACUGCGAAUACCGGAGAAUGUUAUCACGGGAGACACACGGCGGGUGCUAACGUCCGUCGUGAAGAGGGAAACAACCCAGACCGCCAGCUAAGGUCCCAAAGUCAUGGUUAAGUGGGAAACGAUGUGGGAAGGCCCAGACAGCCAGGAUGUUGGCUUAGAAGCAGCCAUCAUUUAAAGAAAGCGUAAUAGCUCACUGGUCGAGUCGGCCUGCGCGGAAGAUGUAACGGGGCUAAACCAUGCACCGAAGCUGCGGCAGCGACGCUGAUGCGUUGUUGGGUAGGGGAGCGUUCUGUAAGCCUGCGAAGGUGUGCUGUGAGGCAUGCUGGAGGUAUCAGAAGUGCGAAUGCUGACAUAAGUAACGAUAAAGCGGGUGAAAAGCCCGCUCGCCGGAAGACCAAGGGUUCCUGUCCAACGUUAAUCGGGGCAGGGUGAGUCGACCCCUAAGGCGAGGCCGAAAGGCGUAGUCGAUGGGAAACAGGUUAAUAUUCCUGUACUUGGUGUUACUGCGAAGGGGGGACGGAGAAGGCUAUGUUGGCCGGGCGACGGUUGUCCCGGUUUAAGCGUGUAGGCUGGU